rnacentral:rRNA from 1 species
UUGUGAGGUUCUCCUUCCCUGAUCUCUCCUGAUCUCAGAAGCUAAGCAGUGUUGUGCCUUGUUAAUACCUGGAUAGGAGAUCAUGAAGAAAUCUCAUAAG